UUUUUUUUUUUUUGCUGUUCUCCAAUCAUCAUUUCUUAUUGCUGGCCACAUUUUUUAGAUUGUGUUCAUCUUUUCCUGUUCCCAAGUGCUCAACACCAUAGUUUUUUUCCUUCCUUGUAUGUAUUCUUUUUACCACACACUUUGUGAUAGUUUCUUUUCUUUUGCUUCAGCAAAGCCUGAUUGAUUGCAGCUUCUAUAGGCCAUACAACCACUUACAGCUUCUGGCACAUUUUAUUUUUCUCAAAGGACAUGCAUUUCAAAAUCUUGACUAUUGUGCUUUAAAACCUGGAUUCCUAUUUCUUUUUAUAUGUAAUAAAGGUAUAGUCUACUUUGAUCUUAAUUAUUUGUGUCUCACUAAGCAGAAACAGAAAAAUUACUCCUUUAAGCUAUGCAACCCCUCUACAAAACAAAAAAUCUUUUUGGCACACCUCAACUUCUCAUUUACAUUAAGCAGGUAAACUGCAAAAGAGAUGUUAGUUGUACUCUCUAUUCAGAGUUAACAAUAAGAAUAGAAGCAGCACAUUGUAAUUUUAUAUUCACUUCUGCAAUGUAGGCCUUUAGGCAUGCACAGAAGUUCAGGUUUUGUACAGGAGUCAGUCAAUCGUUCUACUGCACCAAGCCAAAACGCCUUAAGAACAUAUGAACAUAAACUGAAAUACUUUUCUUUCAAAUGUUAAACAAUAUGCUUCUGUGGAUUCUUUUGUAGGAAACACAUCUACAUCAACUUUAGAAAAAGGAUUACUUAAUUAAGAAUUUUCAAAAAUAGCCAUGCUUUAAAUACACAAAAGCCUAAAAACUCUUUGCAGGAAGCCUGUAUUUGAUGCACUCAUUAGCAGACGUACUUCCAUAAUGCAUAAUUUUUUCUUUGUUACAGAAAAAAAUAAAUCAGCUGAAAUGAUAAUAAGAACACAGAAUUUCAGUGUAUUACCUAGACAAAACAUACCUAAAACUCUUCUCCAUACUCCCUCCUAUCAGAGGGGCCAGUAAAAAUCUCUCAAUAAAAACUGAGUCUCCAGAUACAGCUGAAAAAACCGCACCUGCCAGAAUCAGAAAACUUAGGUAGUUUUGGCUUACGUAGUUUGUAGCUUUCAAAACAGAUCAGCUAUCAUUAUUGUCAACUGUACUGUACUUCUUGUUCAUUGAUAAAGUACAGAGACCAAAGUAGCAUCUAGCCUUGCUAUUAAACACGUAAGAUGCUCAUAAUGGCUUCCACCCCAAAAAUUGGUAAAAAAAAAAAAAAAAAAAAGGAAUAAAACCUGUGAGGGAAUUCAAUGGAGAAAAGCAAAGGCUAUAAACUCUUCAGCUUGAGUAUGAGUCACAGAGGAUAAAGAAUGCAACUUGUCCUUAAAAGAUAUGUUCUCCUGUUCCCC
rnacentral:lncRNA from 1 species